UGCACGCGUGGCGCGUGGCCGUGCCGUACGAGGGCCUCCACCGCCAUCGGCGCGUGGUUGCUCAGCCAUCCCUGCCGUUCCGGACCGGCGGCGUGCAGCC
rnacentral:tRNA from 2 species